CACAUCAUUCGCGUGCUGCAUGGAAUUGUACCAAGCGGUUUACAGUCCAAACCAGAUAUCAUGGGGUUAUCUUUCACAGAUUUUGCAGACUUUGUGGCAUAAUACUACGAAGCCCGAUCCCGUUUUCCCGUCUACGCAAGACCGAAGGGGAUGUCCCGCAAUUUAACUAAGGAUAAGCGGAAGAAAACCCACUGAACUCUAUAACUGGAAUGGCCCCGAUCGCUUGCUGUGCAUUGGAAGCUUGAAGCCACCGGAAGUAUAGAAGUCGCCAUGUUGUUUCACCCAAAACAAGAAAGCCUAACAACUAAGAAGAGUUGGAGAUGCCGUCUUGUGCUGCUAUUAAUUGCACAAAUCGUGAUACUCGUGAAAAUCGCGACAAGGGACUUACAUUUCACAGAUUUCCACACUGCAAUGUUCAACUUCUAAAGCAAUGGGUAGUAAAUAUGCGGAGAGACAGGUGGAUUCCUGCAGCCAGAUCGCAACUCUGUUCAAGUCAUUUCACCGAGGAGAACUUGGACAGGACCGGCCAGACUGUUAGAUUAGGACAAAAUGCAGUUCCAACAAUAUUUGACUUUCCUGAUCAUCUUCUAAAGGUAUGCUAGCAUUUAACUUUGAUACUACGUAGAUCCUUAUCGUAACAAAUACCUUGUGAACACUGAAAUUGACUUGUUAUGCAUUGUAAUUUCACACCAUAGAGGUAGGAAAAAACUUAAACUUGAGGGAAAUUUUGAGAUUUGGGUCUAGUAAAUUUACUCUGUUUCAAUGUAAUUUGUGUUAAUUCGCAUUAAUUUUUAUAUCGAACCAUAAUAAAUGUAGUGUGUAUGUCUAAGCGUGUGUGCUUUUUUGGGUGAAGCAAGAUGGCCGACCAAUGGCUUCAUGCGGUCAGUAGUAUUCCAGUAGUAUAGAGUUCAGUGAGAAAAACAAUGGCCGAGCAGUGACAUUGAUUAUUAUUUUUCAUUUAUGAUCAUAAGGGGUCAAUAACCAUACCUCAUAUGGACAGAGGAAAAAGAAAUAUAACUACCUGAAUAAAUACAAAUACAUAUACAAUAAACAAUAUUGCGAUUGUCAUUUGCGGUGUACUGUCAAAUGGAGCAGUCUCAUUGGGUUGUGGCACCAAGCGCUACUGCGCAUGCGUACAACAAAGAAACCUGUUCUAAAUGUGCAUCAAUUUUGAAGGAAUCCGUCACAUGAGCACAGUCUUAUCAUAGUGAGGCUACAUUAGUGUAUUUCAUCAUUUAAUGUACAUGUGUGACACCACAACCUAUUAAACAAUGACAUUUACGAUUUAUUAUGUUAUGAUACUCAUGUGAAGAUGUUGAAAAUCUACUUACGUCGACUUAAGACUUUAGUUCGAUAGCUGCAUUGCCAGGUGAACUUCACACUGUCAUAGCUGUACAAUAGGGGCGUGCAAAG